rnacentral:rRNA from 1 species
UUACGGGAGGCAGCAGUGAGGAAUAUUGCACAAUGGGCGAAAGCCUGAUGCAGCAACGCCGCGUGAGUGAUGAAGGCCUUCGGGUUGUAAAGCUCUGUCUUCUGGGACGAUAAUGACGGUACCAGAGGAGGAAGCCACGGCUAACUACGUGCCAGCAGCCGCGGUAAUACGUAGGUGGCAAGCGUUGUCCGGAUUUACUGGGCGUAAAGGAUGCGUAGGCGGAUACUUAAGUCAGAUGUGAAAUUCCCGAGCUUAACUUGGGAACUGCAUUUGAAACUGGGUAUCUAGAGUGUGGGAGAGGAAAGUGGAAUUCCUAGUGUAGCGGUGAAAUGCGUAGAGAUUAGGAAGAACACCAGUGGCGAAGGCGACUUUCUGGACCAUAACUGACGCUGAGGCAUGAAAGCGUGGGGAGCAAACAGGAUUAGAAACCCUUGUAGUCCA